rnacentral:rRNA from 1 species
ACGGAGGGUGCAAACGUUGCUCGGAAUCAUUGGGCGUAAAGCGCACGUAGGCGGCUUGUUAAGUCGGAUGUGAAAUCCCCGGGCUCAACCUGGGAAUGGCAUCCGAUACUGGGGAGCUAGAGUUUGGGAGAGGGUGGUGGAAUUCCCGGUGUAGCGGUGAAAUGCGUAGAGAUCGGGAGGAACAUCAGUGGCGAAGGCGGCCACCUGGCCUAAAACUGACGCUGAGGCACGAAAGCGUGGGGAGCAAACAGGA